GCCUUUGUGUUGUAGUGGUCAGCACGCUCGACGCGUAACCGAGAGGUCCGUGGUUCGAUUCCCGGCGAAAGCG
rfam:Stegodyphus mimosarum contig54189, whole genome shotgun sequence.